rnacentral:rRNA from 1 species
GACGAACGCUGGCGGCGUGCUUAACACAUGCAAGUCGAACGGAAAGGCCCUGCUUUUGUGGGGUGCUCGAGUGGCGAACGGGUGAGUAACACGUGAGUAACCUGCCCUUGACUUUGGGAUAACUUCAGGAAACUGGGGCUAAUACCGGAUAGGAGCUCCUGCUGCAUGGUGGGGGUUGGAAAGUUUCGGCGGUUGGGGAUGGACUCGCGGCUUAUCAGCUUGUUGGUGGGGUAGUGGCUUACCAAGGCUUUGACGGGUAGCCGGCCUGAGAGGGUGACCGGCCACAUUGGGACUGAGAUACGGCCCAGACUCCUACGGGAGGCAGCAGUGGGGAAUAUUGCACAAUGGGCGGAAGCCUGAUGCAGCAACGCCGCGUGCGGGAUGACGGCCUUCGGGUUGUAAACCGCUUUCGCCUGUGACGAAGCGUGAGUGACGGUAAUGGGUAAAGAAGCACCGGCUAACUACGUGCCAGCAGCCGCGGUGAUACGUAGGGUGCGAGCGUUGUCCGGAUUUAUUGGGCGUAAAGGGCUCGUAGGUGGUUGAUCGCGUCGGAAGUGUAAUCUUGGGGCUUAACCCUGAGCGUGCUUUCGAUACGGGUUGACUUGAGGAAGGUAGGGGAGAAUGGAAUUCCUGGUGGAGCGGUGGAAUGCGCAGAUAUCAGGAGGAACACCAGUGGCGAAGGCGGUUCUCUGGGCCUUUCCUGACGCUGAGGAGCGAAAGCGUGGGGAGCGAACAGGCUUAGAUACCCUGGUAGUCCACGCUGUAAACGGUGGGUACUAGGUGUGGGGUCCAUUCCACGGGUUCCGUGCCGUAGCUAACGCUUUAAGUACCCCGCCUGGGGAGUACGGCCGCAAGGCUAAAACUCAAAGGAAUUGACGGGGCCCCGCACAAGCGGCGGAGCAUGCGGAUUAAUUCGAUGCAACGCGUAGAACCUUACCUGGGUUUGACAUGGAUCGGGAGUACUCAGAGAUGGGUGUGCCUCUUUUGGGGUCGGUUCACAGGUGGUGCAUGGCUGUCGCCAGCUCGUGUCGUGAGAUGUUGGGUUAAGUCCCGCAACGAGCGCAACCCUUGUUCACUGUUGCCAGCACGUUAUGGUGGGGACUCAGUGGAGACCGCCGGGGUCAACUCGGAGGAAGGUGGGGAUGACGUCAAGUCAUCAUGCCCCUUAUGUCCAGGGCUUCACGCAUGCUACAAUGGCUGGUACAGAGAGUGGCGAGCCUGUGAGGGUGAGCGAAUCUCGGAAAGCCGGUCUCAGUUCGGAUUGGGGUCUGCAACUCGACCUCAUGAAGUCGGAGUCGCUAGUAAUCGCAGAUCAGCAACGCUGCGGUGAAUACGUUCCCGGGGCU